rnacentral:rRNA from 1 species
UACGUAGGGUGCGAGCGUUGUCCGGAAUUAUUGGGCGUAAAGAGCGCGCAGGCGGUCGUUCAAGUCGCGUGUGAAAGCCCCCGGCUCAACUGGGGAGGGUCACGCGAUACUGAUCGACUGGAAGGCAGGAGAGGGUAGUGGAAUUCCCGGUGUAGUGGUGAAAUGCGUAGAUAUCAAGUGGAACACCAGUGGCGAAGGCGAAUCCCUGGAAAAUACCUGACACUGAGGCACGAAAGCUAGGGGAGCAAACAGG